GACAGAGGAUGCAAACGUUGCUCGGAAUUACUGGGCGUAAAGCGCGCGCAGGCGGUCUUGUAAGUCAGGUGUGAAAUCCCGGGGCUCAACCUCGGAAGUGCACUUGAUACUGCUCGACUGGAGUACUGGAGAGGAGAGCGGAAUUCCCGGUGUAGAGGUGAAAUUCGUAGAUAUCGGGAGGAACACCAGUGGCGAAGGCGGCUCUCUGGACAGAUACUGACGCUGAGGCGCGAAAGCGUGGGAAGCAAACAGG
rnacentral:rRNA from 1 species